AAAAUACAAAAGCUAACGCCAAAAUGGAUCAAAAAGGCAGAGUUUAAAUGAAGAUUCAUGGUAGCAGCUAAUGUUCAGGUACAGAAAACUCGACAACUGUUCUACAUUAGAAGACACCAAGAGAAGGGCAAUUAUCGGUUUCUUAAGAGAUUU
rnacentral:sRNA from 1 species